AACGAACGCUGGCGGCAUGCCUAACACAUGCAAGUCGAACGAGACCUUCGGGUCUAGUGGCGCACGGGUGCGUAACGCGUGGGAACCUGCCUUUAGGUUCGGAAUAACUCAGAGAAAUUUGAGCUAAUACCGGAUAAUGUCUUCGGACCAAAGAUUUAUCGCCUUUAGAUGGGCCCGCGUUGGAUUAGCUAGUUGGUGGGGUAAAGGCCUACCAAGGCGACGAUCCAUAGCUGGUCUGAGAGGAUGAUCAGCCACACUGGGACUGAGACACGGCCCAGACUCCUACGGGAGGCAGCAGUGGGGAAUAUUGGACAAUGGGCGAAAGCCUGAUCCAGCAAUGCCGCGUGAGUGAUGAAGGUCUUAGGAUUGUAAAAUUCUUUCACCGGGGAAGAUAAUGACGGUACCCGGAGAAGAAGCCCCGGCUAACUUCGUGCCAGCAGCCGCGGUAAU
rnacentral:rRNA from 1 species